AAACCCCCCAGUCUUGUCCAAACCCCCGCCGCGAGGUCUCCUCCUCCACUCCGACCGCCGGGGACCGCUCCACUGCAAUGCUCCGCGAUCCACGGCCAUGGCCUUCCUCAAGACCCUAAACCCUCUCAUACGCAGGAGCACCACCCCGAUCUCGAACCCCAGGCCCCUCCUCUCCCUCCACACCUUCCUCGCCUCAUCCUCCCCCACCACCAUCACCCCCGCCGCCGCCUCCCCAGCAGCCGCCCCCUUCGCCGGAGCGGCGCAGACCCACGUCCCCGUCCGGUCGGGCGGCCCGCUGUUCCUCUCGUCGCCCCCAUGGAUGCUCUCGCAGUCCGCGACGCCGCUCACGGCCGCGGCUGCCGCCCUCCGCGACAAGCUCCGCAGGGCCCAGGCUCUCGCCGGCGGCCGCGCGCAGGCCGUCGCGGACGCCGUGCGUUGGGACCACAGGCGGAUCUCAGGGGGUGAGGCGGAGGCCGCGCCGUCGGCGGGGGCUGUGGGAGGUGGGGGCGAGAGGUUUCUGAAUGCGCCCAAUUUGGUGUCGAUUGGGCGCAUGGUGUCAGGGCCGGUCAUUGGAUGGAUGAUUGUGAACGAAUGGUAUCUUCCUGCCUUUGCCACAUUGGCUGUCUCUGGUGCAAGUGAUUGGUUGGAUGGCUUUUUAGCAAGGAAGAUGGGCAUCAAUUCUGUCUUUGGGUCAUAUUUGGACCCUCUUGCUGAUAAGGUUUUGAUUGGCUGUGUUGCUGUAGCCAUGGUUCAAAAUGAUCUCUUACAUCCUGGUCUUGUCGGCCUGGUUGUCAUGAGAGACUUGCUCCUUGUGGGUGGUGCUUUCUACAAACGGGCUUCUAGUCUGGGAUGGAAGUGGAACAGUUGGUCGGAAUAUGUUAACUUAGAUGCGAUUCAUCGUGAAAAGGUUGAACCUCUGUUCAUCAGCAAGGUGAACACAGUAUUCCAGUUAAUGUUGGUUGCAGCUGCACUUCUUCAGCCAGAAUUUGGUACAGAUGAGACUCAGAAUUACAUUACACUCCUUAGGGAGUUGUUCUCACAUGAGCUUUUGUUCAGUAAAUCCGGUAUAUUUACAAUUUCCCACCCACAAUAAACACUGGAGCAGAAGAACACUUGAAUAUGGAUACCUGACACUUGUUAAAAAUUUGGCUGGUAGCUACUACAACAAUCACUUCCACGAUAGGCUAUGGGGUGAAAUACUACCGGAUCAAACCAAGGAGCCGAUGACUGUUGCCACAUGCACUUGUUUCAUGGAUGAAUUUGCCGCUUAUGAGGAGGGCAGGCAUGCAAUAACACACUGACAUGUAUCAGGCAUGGACGGAGUGGCUAUGCGAAGUUUCCAAUUUACAACUGCAAGAUUGGAUAAAGUGAAACAUUUUGGGCAAUAAUUGGAUAAAGAAGUGAAGAACUGCCACUGCCACAUGAAUGAAAUCAGCGCAUUACUUGUACAUUAGACCUUGGGCCUCUCUAGCUCGGUCUCUCCAGUAGCUGUUAAGUUUCUUGCUUACUACUUCCCCUUAGUUUCAGCUUAGAGCGCACAUUAAAAGCCAGUAGAACCUUUGCUUUUCUUUGGCCCGAUAGAUACAUCAGUCUGUUGCCUGUGUACACAUACGCACUUCAAAAUAUUUGUACUUGCCCAUUGCCAUGGCGGAAUGAGGUUGAUAGGUGCCGUCCUGUUACCAGAUGUCCUGUUUACGAUGCAAUGCAAUCCGUGUAUCGGCACAACUGUUGACCUGAUUU